UUACGACCAUAUCAUCUUGAAACACCGGUUGUUGUACAAUCACCGAAGUUAAACAACGAGGAGCCUGGUCAGUACCGAGAUGGGUGACCGCUAAGGAAUAUAAGGUGCUGUAAG